UCCUCGGUAGCUCAAUGGCAGAGCGGGUGGCUGUUAACCACUAGGUUCGAGGUUCGAAUCCUCGCCGAGGAGCCA
rnacentral:tRNA from 1 species